GGGGCUGUAGCUCAGCUGGCUAGAGCGCUUGCAUGGCAUGCAAGAGGUCAGGGGUUCGAUUCCCCUCAGCUCCACCA
rnacentral:tRNA from 1 species